rnacentral:rRNA from 1 species
AUUGAACGCUGGCGGCAGGCCUAACACAUGCAAGUCGAGCGGAUGAAGGGAGCUUGCUCCUGGAUUCAGCGGCGGACGGGUGAGUAAUGCCUAGGAAUCUGCCUGGUAGUGGGGGAUAACGUCCGGAAACGGGCGCUAAUACCGCAUACGUCCUGAGGGAGAAAGUGGGGGAUCUUCGGACCUCACGCUAUCAGAUGAGCCUAGGUCGGAUUAGCUAGUUGGUGGGGUAAAGGCCUACCAAGGCGACGAUCCGUAACUGGUCUGAGAGGAUGAUCAGUCACACUGGAACUGAGACACGGUCCAGACUCCUACGGGAGGCAGCAGUGGGGAAUAUUAGACAAAGGGCGAAAGCCUGAUCCAGCCAUGCCGCGUGUGUGAAGAAGGUCUUCGGAUUGUAAAGCACUUUAAGUUGGGAGGAAGGGCAGUAAGUUAAUACCUUGCUGUUUUGACGUUACCAACAGAAUAAGCACCGGCUAACUUCGUG